GCGGGCGUGGCGAAAUUGGCAGACGCGCGGGAUUUAGGUUCCCGUGACCGAAAGGUCUUGCAGGUUCAAGUCCUGUCGCCCGCA
rnacentral:tRNA from 1 species